GACGAACCGUGCGAACGUUAUUCGGAAUCACUGGGCUUAAAGCGCGUGUAGGCGGAUGGGAACGUCGGUUGUUGAAAGCCCCCGGCUCAACCGGGGAAUGGGCGCCGAAACGACCCGUCUGGAGGGACGUAGGGGGACCUGGAACUUCCGGUGGAGCGGUGAAAUGCGUUGAGAUCGGAAGGAACGCCCGUGGCGAAGGCGGUUCUCUGGGCCUGUACUGACGCUGAGGAGCGAAAGCGUGGGGAGCGAACAGG
rnacentral:rRNA from 1 species